ACCUGGUUAGCUCAGUUGGUAGGGCGCCAGACUGUAGAGCCGGCGGGAGGUCGCGGGUUCAAAUCCCGAUUGGACCAACCAGGGU